AGUGAACGCUGGCGGUAGGCCUAACACAUGCAAGUCGAACGGCAGCACAGUAAGAGCUUGCUCUUACGGGUGGCGAGUGGCGGACGGGUGAGGAAUACAUCGGAAUCUACUUUUUCGUGGGGGAUAACGUAGGGAAACUUACGCUAAUACCGCAUACGACCUACGGGUGAAAGCAGGGGAUCUUCGGACCUUGCGCGAUUGAAUGAGCCGAUGUCGGAUUAGCUAGUUGGCGGGGUAAAGGCCCACCAAGGCGACGAUCCGUAGCUGGUCUGAGAGGAUGAUCAGCCACACGGGAACUGAACCACGGUCCAGACUCCUACGGGAGGCAGCAGUGGGGAAUGUUGGACAAUGGGCGCAAGCCUGAUCCAGCCAUACCGCGUGGGUGAAAGAGGCCUUCGGGUUGUAAAGCCCUUUUGUUGGGAAAGAAAAGCAGCAGGUUAAUACCCCGCUGUUCUGACGGUACCCAAAGAAUAAGCACCGGCUAACUUCGUG
rnacentral:rRNA from 1 species